rnacentral:rRNA from 2 species
UUUGAUCAUGGCUCAGAUUGAACGCUGGCGGCAGGCCUAACACAUGCAAGUCGAGCGGUAGAGAGGUGCUUGCACCUCUUGAGAGCGGCGGACGGGUGAGUAAUGCCUAGGAAUCUGCCUGGUAGUGGGGGAUAACGCUCGGAAACGGACGCUAAUACCGCAUACGUCCUACGGGAGAAAGCAGGGGACCUUCGGGCCUUGCGCUAUCAGAUGAGCCUAGGUCGGAUUAGCUAGUUGGUGGGGUAAUGGCUCACCAAGGCGACGAUCCGUAACUGGUCUGAGAGGAUGAUCAGUCACACUGGAACUGAGACACGGUCCAGACUCCUACGGGAGGCAGCAGUGGGGAAUAUUGGACAAUGGGCGAAAGCCUGAUCCAGCCAUGCCGCGUGUGUGAAGAAGGUCUUCGGAUUGUAAAGCACUUUAAGUUGGGAGGAAGGGCAUUAACCUAAUACGUUAGUG